AUGGAUUACCAAGGGAGCAAUGUUAGGGAUUUCCUUCAUGUUAAUGGACAAGUGGUGCUAGAAAGAGUGAAUACCAACUAUAAUCUAAGAUCUUUCACUCAAAAAGAGAUAGAAGACAUUACUGGUGGGUAUAGCACUGUGCUGGGAGAAGGGGGAUUUGGUAAGGUUUACAAAGGAAAAUUAGAUGGUCUUCGUCCAGUUGCAGUAAAGAGAUACAAAAAUGGAACCAAGAAAGAAGAGUUCGCCAAAGAGGUGAUAGUGCAUUCCCAGAUAAAUCACAAGAAUGUUGUCAGACUGUUUGGUUGCUGCACGGAGGAAAAUGCUCUUACUAUUGUUAUGGAGUUUGCAUGCAAUGGCAAUCUCUACAAUAUCCUUCACUGCAGCAGAAGCGAUGCUAAUGGUUUUGUCCCCUUCCCUUUGGACAAACGUUUGGACAUCGCCAUUGAGUCAGCUGAAGUAUUAUCAUGCAUGCAUUCAAUGUAUAGUCCCGUUCUUCAUGGUGACAUCAAACCCGCUAAUAUACUGCUAGAUGAAAAUUUUCGGCCAAAGAUAUCAGAUUUUGGGAUAUCAAGGUUCCUUUCUGCUGAUGAGACUCAGCAUACCAGACAUGUCAUUGGAUGCAUAGGUUAUAUGGACCCUUUGUUCUGUCAGAGUGGGAUUCUAACUUCGAAGAGUGAUGUAUAUAGUUUUGGAGUCGUUUUGCUGGAAAUCAUCACCCGAAAGAAAGCCGUUGACGGGAAUGUCAUUCUUGCUCAGAGUUUUGUUGAAUCCCUGAGAAAAGGGAAAAAGGUGAGACUAAUGUUUGAUGAAGAAAUUGCCAACGAUAAAAAGAACAUCAAAUUUCUUGAAGAUGUCGCAAAGCUAGUAGCUGAAUGCUUGAAAAUGGAGGCCAAAAUGCGUCCAGAAAUGGUUGAGGUGGCGGACAGGCUUAGGACGAUUAGAAAAGCUUACCGCCAGCGGAAGGGCAGAAAUUCUACAGGUAGCAACUCUGGACUUAUUAAAAGUGGAAAGGCACAGGAUAUGCUUUCCCCUACCCCUGUUACCGCUGCUACUGCCAAGAACACUGACAAAAUUCCAUCAUAUGUGGUACCGACCAUUUCCAUGGAUGAACUGAAGAAAAUAACCAGGAACUUUAGCAAUGAUGCUGUAAUAGGGGGCUUAUCCAGUGGUUGUUUCUUCGGGGUGCUGAACAAUGGAAAUAAAUCCGCGAUCAAGAUACUCAGUACUGAAGAAGUUACUUUGGAGAUUCCAGUGGUCUCAAGAUUCAGACAUGAGAAUAUUCUCCAGCUUCUCGGAUACUGUGUUGAAGGAGACAACUUUCUUCUUGCUUAUGAGUAUGCAUCCAGGGGAUCCUUGCAUGAUAUUCUUCAUGGUAAAAAGAAUGUUACGGGGGCUGAACCAGGACUCGUUCUAUCAUGGACGCAACGCGUGAAGAUUGCCCUGGGUGCUGCAAGUGGGCUCGAGUGCCUCCACGAGAAAACAGAACCUUGCAUUAUCCACAGUUGCAUCAAGGCCAGCAACAUAUUUCUCUUUGACAGUGACGUUGCGAAGAUUGGUUACCCUGGUUUUUCCAGACACCCUCACUACAUAGACAAUAUUCUUUUGGACCGUCCAGAUUGUCCUGGAGGAAAAUAUUAUCCUCCCAGUUCCGCUUAUGAUGCGCCUGAGUAUGCAAUGUACGGAGAGUUUUCUACAAUGAGUGAUGUCUACAGUUUCGGGGUUGUUGUGCUGGAACUCUUGACCGGUCGGAAGGCAUUUGAUCCCUCACUAUCCCGUGGCCAACAAUGCCUCGUGACAUGGGCUCGACCAAGACUUGAUGAAUCCAAGGUGCACCAAUGCGUGGAUCCGAGACUUGGUGGAGAUUUCCCUCCCAAGGCUGCCGCCAAGAUGGCUGCAGUGGCAGCGCUCUGUACACAGCAUGAGAAGGAACACCGGCCAAAAAUAAGUAUCAUGGUCAAGGCUCUGAGGCCGUUGCUGGUCAGCAAGUAA
rnacentral:rRNA from 1 species